GUGCCAGCCGCCGCGGUAAUACGUAGGGUGCGAGCGUUAAUCGGAAUUACUGGGCGUAAAGCGUGCGCAGGCGGUUCGACAAGUCUGAUGUGAAAGCCCCGGGCUCAACCUGGGAAUGGCAUUGGAAACUGGCGAGCUAGAGUGUGGCAGAGGGGGGUGGAAUUCCGCGUGUAGCAGUGAAAUGCGUAGAGAUGCGGAGGAACACCGAUGGCGAAGGCAGCCCCCUGGGCUUUCACUGACGCUCAGGCACGAAAGCGUGGGGAGCAAACAGGAUUAGAUACCCCCGUAGUCC
rnacentral:rRNA from 1 species